GGAAACAAACUUUAUUGGUAACUCUUCAUGUCAUACAGAGGAAAAAUCCAUGUAUCUCCCUCCUGUUCAUUAUAUGUAAGUGAUUAUUAAUGGUUUAGUAAUUCAUUUGUGUAUGGAUUUUAAGUGGAUUACAAAUCCCAGUGACGACUUUGCCUCCAUAUCUACUGAAAUGACACUGUCACAGGACCAAACAACAUUGGAAGCUCAUUCAUCUGUACAUUUUCUAAUGGGAUAUCUGACUGCCUUCUGCGUUUUAUUAAGGACAAACCAGACUGUCUACGCAAGAAAAUUAAUGAACACAGAUCAGACAGAAAUGAUGGGAAUAUCCAGAACCAAUGAGAUACCAUUUCAAUCUUCCUAGCCAUUCUUUAGCGAAUUUAAAAGUUUUGUAUGCCAACAAAGCAGUUUCACCAAAGUGUCAGGGUCAGUGCAUGCACACCCCGCAAAAAAGAAAUUUUUGAAAGAAUUCAACAUGUGUUAUUCAAAAACAAAACAAAACACUGAGGCAUCAAUAUAGUAAUCAUGGGGAAAAUCAGAACUUUGUCAGACUUCCCUAUACUACACUACACAUUUCCCACCAUUUUUCUGUCCUCUCUUUAUUUCCACCUAAGCAAGGGGGCAUCCUGCUAACACAGAUUGAAAUAAUGUGAGGAAAUCAUCCUGUCGUGUGUCCCACAUGACAUACAUGCAAGUACAUUUUGAUUUUAUGGUUUAGAAUUGCUUUUAUUUUGAAUUACAUCUAGUGGGCACCAUAAUCUUGUCAGUGUUUAGGACCUCUAACAGUCUUAAUCCAGCCCUGAGAAUGGGGGGGACUGUGUGAAGCUGCAGAGUUGUAAUACAUCUUUUACACUAUCAGACUUGGACUCAUUUAAGACAGGGAGCAGCUAGCUGAACAGAUAAGGCAACUGUCUUUAGGUGUUUAUACUGUUCUGCUUUUCAUUUUGCUGUUGCCAGUUCAUAACUUACUGGGAAUGGGUCACACCCAUUUUGUCUGCACCUUUUAAUCCUUUGAAUUAACUUUAUUUGCAUCUGUGCUUUUUAUAGUAAUGAUACACACCUGCAUUGCUGGGCCUUCUGGCUCAUUUUGUAAUAACACUCUCUUCACUCACCCACCUGCUUCAUCUGUCUGAUUUGGAGGGCAAGUGCAAAUGAUAGUUUAUUUUCUGAUGCGCUGGCAAAUCGUGCUUUGUCGUGAAAGGAAGAAAACUGGAGUGAACAAGAGAAGGAAGGAGAGAGCCUGAGACCACAUUAAAUGUCAAACUCUAGUAUGGCAUUACAUGUGAACCAAGCCUUUGUCUUUCAUGCUAUAACUGAAAUACAUUUCUCUGGUUAAAUUUAAACCUAAUAACUGCAGUCAAAAACAAGCAUAUUUGGUCUCACAGGUGGGCCAUCAGAAUGCAGAUACAGUCAUAGGUUCCUUUCAGAUGCUAACAACGGCAAGCCAGGAUUUACUGGAUUUCUGUACAAGACUGUUCACUUGUAAAAUUGUUACAAGCAACUAUUAACUUUCCUACUGCAGUAACUUGCCAUACUUGGUCCUUCCACGCCACACAUAAUAGAAACACUACAGCAUGGCAAUGCAUUGCAGUAACACCUUUUUGCUAGCAGAUGCUGUGAUGUUAAUGGUUCCCUCUUAUUCCCUAGUAGUUGUAACAGCUAGGCAAGGAAAUACAUGGAUCUGAAAAUGCAGAGCUUUAAAACGAAUAUUGUGCCUCAGAGGUUCCUAUUACUUAUGUACUCCUACAACCUAUAGCAGAAGGCCAAAGGGAGAGUGGGUUUGUGGAUGAUUGCUAGUCACGAAAAUUUUGGUUCCUGUGACCCAGCCCUCCUUUGACUAAGGCCAGCUUCCUCAUUUCCAUAUUACAAACAGAAAGCAAGAGGGGGAAGUGUUGGUGGCUGCCCUUUGACCAGGGCGGGCUAUCUUAAAUAAAAGCAUCUUACAUCAUUGAGUUAAAUAACCAGGGGGAAAUCAUGUUUAAGCCACUUAUUUAAAUCAAGUUCCCCAUUUUCAGAUCCACCUAGUUCAGGUCUAGCUUUUAUAAGGUCAACACUGAAAGGUGAGCAGGGAGUACACUGUGGUGUGAUUGUACAAAUGCAUAAGGUACAUCGCACAGAAAGCGUAUUGUUCCAAGAGAACAGUGUCCAUUCAUAGAAUUGUAGAGUUGGAAGAUACCCCCCAAGGGUCAUCUUGUCCAACUCCCUGCAAUGCAGGAAUCUCAACUAAAGCAUCCAUGGCAGAUGGCCAUCCAAACUCUGCUUAAAAACCUCCAGUGAAGCAGAGCCCACCACCUCCCAAGAAAGUGCGUUCCACUGUAGAACAACUACUGUCAGAAAAUUCUUCCUGGUGUUUAGCUGGAAUCUUCUUUCUUUUAACUUGACUCAAUUGGUUCAGGUCCUAGCCUCCAGAGCAGGAGAAAACAAGCUUUCUUCAUGUGACAGCCCUUGAGAUGGUUGAAGAUUGCUAUCAUAUCUCCUCUCAGUCUCCUCCUUACCAGGCUAAACAUACCCAGCAGCAGUUUGACUUCAGCCCCAGAGGCACACUCCAUGGUCUCUCAACAACAAAUGUCCAUUAAAUACUUGCUUAGGAAAUGUAUGCAGGAACCAGCUCCAGGAAUGGAGACAAGGUCUCCAUAUGGGAGCAGGAAUCUUCUGUACAUAGGAAACGGGACCCCAACGUGGGCUAUUUAUUUCAUUUGUACCUCACUUUUUCUCCAGUGGGCUCAAGGUAGUAGAUAUGCCCCCCUUGCAUUUUAUUCUCACAACAGUUCUAUAAGGAAGGUUAGUCUGAGACUCUUCCAUUGGUCCAGGAUUGCCUAGGAAGCUUCAUUGUCUGAGUGAAGAUUUGACUCUAGGACUCCAAAGUCUAAGACUCUAACCAGUACGCUACACUAGCUCUCCGAUGCCUACUGUAACAGGUAGUGCCGGUGGCACAAGGAUCCAGCUCUAGGGUCAGGGAAUAUGAAAACCCCCUCCUGCAAUCAUUGACACACCCCAGGUGGGUGUUGUUGUUGUUGUAAUAAAAGCGAGCUGUAAGUGUUCUUCUUUCUUGCUUAUUUCAUCACAUUCCGACCAUCUUGACCUCCCACCCAGGGGCGGAGGAAGGGGGUGCGUUGGGUGCAGUCCACCCUCGGUGUCACCACUGAGGGGGGGUGACAAAAUGCCGGUCGGCACUCACCGCUGGGCCUGCAGCGUGCCCGAGCCACACCUCAGUGGCUUGGGCGUGUGUAGGCUCCAUGCUGCCCAAAAGGUCCGUCCGCUGCCUCCCCCCCACAGCUGUAGGGUGGUUAAGUGGGAGGAGGCAUGCAGACUCUGGAGGCCCUGCGGUGCGCCCCACCCCUAUGGGCAGCUUCCCCUUCCCUGGGUGCGCCACCCCAGGCGCCCAAGCGGUUUCCUCCACCGCUGCACCCACCCCCAGCCUCAAGAAGAAUUGAAAGGCCCCUGCCUCUAAUUUGAAGUUGUGGGGGGUGGGGGGUACUGCAUUUUAGCCCACUGCCACAUUGUGGAUUGAGAUGUAGAGCAGAUCGAUUGAUCUGAGUGCAUCGUCCCUGAGUAUGACUUACCUGGUUGUCACCCUAUGUAAAGAAGGGCUUCCCCCAUUUACUAAUCUGUGUCUGCUCUCCAGUACUCCUCAACUGCUAGGGCGGGUCUGCCCCCUUUAUACCCAUACAUACGCUUCAGGUUACAUACGCUUCAGGCUACAGACUCUGCUAACCCAGAAAUAGUACCUCAGGUUAAGAACUUUGCUUCAGGAUGAGAACAGAAAUCGGGCUCCAGCAGCACGGCGGCACCAGGAGGCCCCCAUUAGCGAAAGUGGUCUUCAGGUUAUGAACAGUUUCAGGUUAAGAAUGGACCUCCAGAACGAAUUAAGUACUUAACCCGAGGUACCAGUGUAUAUCUAUAUAUCUAUAGCCCCUUUGUUGGACAGUUCUUACUGUGGAGCCAUUCACUUUCACUAAUGAGCAAGAUGGAUAUGCCUGAUUCUCCCCACCCCCAUAUAAUUAGUUAUUAAGAUGCAGGUUCAAUACAUGGCGAAAGUGAAGAUAAAACACAGCUUUAUGCUUUUUUGUUAUGCAGGGUGAUAUCCUGUACCCACUCCUGGCUAUACCCAGCCUGCUCUGUGAAUUAAUCAGUUGUCGUUUGCAGAGCUACACUAGCAGCAAGCUUAUCAAUAUUAAUUCAGUUGGGCUGAGAUGGGGAGGAGGAGGGAUUUUAGUAUGACCUUUCCAAGCCCAUGCUGGCUCAGACGGUCAAAAAGCAGCUGAGGAGAGAGAAGCAGGGCAGGUAAUGGCAUGUGGCUUUAGUAUCUUUUCUGCCAUCGUAAUCCAAAACAGCAAUAAAAUCAUAUCACUUUUCACAGUCAGUAUGAAAGAGCAUAUUGUGUUGGUAAUCUUUGGGCUGGAUUAAUCCCUGGCUGAAACACCCUCACCCUCAGGGUGUGUUGUGUGUGUCCUCUGUUUCUGUAAGAGAAAACCACCGGCAACCAGCACAAAGGAAGCUGAAAUAGGUGAAGUGUUUAAUGGCAGAAUGUUUAUUUAAUCAAAAUCAUUCUGCAUGAAGUGCGGUGAGCAGUGAAGAGGGUGAGAGGGAACAAAGCCAUCCACAUCUGUUAUUCUAUUGUUGAGCACAAUUGUUCACAGUAGCUAAUUCAGACGUUUGCUUUGUCGUCGUAUUCUGUUAGAAAGGAACUGGGGUGUUCUGAUCUCAUUACAAAUGAUAUCCCUUGAAUAGGUUUGUAAAAUUGUUGUUGAUUGCUAAAGGAUAUUCUAGAAAAUAAUUAAGGAUGUCAGAAAUCUGAUUGCUGUGCAUUAGCACUGUGCUUUUUCAUUUUCAUUUUUUUUAUUUGUUUGCUCCAAGAUGAAAUACAAUAGCUUUCUGCCCUUAUUUAUUGUUUUCUGUUGGUGCCUAAAUGCAUAAAUAAUUUCUGGCAUCUUGUGAUGCAAAACCUGUGAUGCAUGCUGGAUUUAACAAAGAAAAACUGAUCCAGAUUUUUUUUUUAUAAUGUGUUAUGUGUGGUUUGUAAUGUGCACUUCACUAACGAAGCUGAGGGUGUGUUUCUCCUUUCUUUGUCAGGAUCCAUCAUGUCUGACAAACCAGAUUUUGCAGAAAUCGAAACAUUUGACAAAACCAAACUGAAAAAAACAGAAACCAGAGAAAAAAAUCCACUGCCCACCAAGGAAAGUAAGUAAAUCUAAUUCAGCCUGGAUGUACAAUUAAUAAUUUGCUCAAUGUGCAUAAUAAAUAAAUACUCAGAGAGCCAAUAGUCCUAGUUCCUCAGGAAUAACACUUUUAAGUAAUUAUUAAUUUGGAUUUGUUAUCUGCAUGCACUUAGCUAUUAUUUAUAUUGGCCAAUUAAAUUAGUUAUUGUGGCUUUUAAACUGUGUGCACUGUUUGCUAAAGGAGAUAAUAUAACAUGGACUUUGUGCAAGUUAUUUUGCCGGUAUGUCCAGAAGCAUGAUAAUUAUAUAGAUUUCAAAUCUAAAGUUUCCUUUAAUAAAUCACCAUAGAGGCAGACAUGUUGUACAAUUACAGCAUGCCCACACAAAGGAUGCUGUGAAAUUAUAUAGCCUGACAGCUUUGUGUCGAUAAAACUUACACCAGUAUUCCACUACAAUAAAUCUGCCAGUUUUUCAAGUGAUACAAAACUCUUUUAUUUUUGUAUUUAAUAAACAGUACACCAUUUAAUAAAAAGUACAUCUUAUUACUAUAUGAGACAAUUACACUCCAAGGUUGCUUAGUGCUGCCCUCUUCCGGAUUGUAUCUACAUCUACUGUAUAGUACUUGAUGAAGUAAACUCCUGCCGACAUUUAUGCCGCAAUCAGUUUUUUAGGUGGUGCAAGACUGUUUGUUGUUGUUGCUGCUGCUCUUUGAGAAUUUAACAAAUGUAGAAUUAAUCAGGUUAUAUAUUAUCCCUGUUUCACUAGUGUAAAAAUCAGAGUUUUAAUUUUGUUCUGUAGCAGUAGUCAGCAAAAGGAUUAAACCCCAGGCCUUCAGAGCUGCUUGCAUGACAUUUAGGAGAAAGCUGAUCUAAUCUCUCCUUAGUAUAUGAGGCUUUUAAAAAAAGGCAUUUGAUAUAGAUUGCUGGCUCAUCUGUUGGUAAGAAUGUCUCUCUAGCCAUUCAGUUUGUGAGACAGCCAGUGCUUUUUUUCUGGGGGUACGCAUACCCUUAAACAUUUUGUGAAUCUAACUUUGGCCUGAUUGAGGGACAGUAUUUCAAUAUGAGUAGGAAAAUGAGAGUGCCCCUAAACAUUUUUUUUAGGGGGGGGAUCAAUGGAUACAGGCAUAGACCCUUGUGCCCAAUACUAUUUUGGGGGAAGUUGCUAUAAUUCUUAAGGACAGACCUGCACUGGAUCUACCCUUUACAGCAGGGUAGGGGAACCUGUGACAACAUGGUGCUUUCUAGACAUUGUUGGACUACAGCUCCCAUCACCCCUGAUGGUUAGCCAUCCUGGCUGUGGCCGACAUACACACUUGACAUUAUAUAUGAUGCAUAUUUAUGUACUUCACAAUGGAGAAUAUUAGGCCCUGGUUAUUUAUAACAGAGGCAAAUAACAAGAGGUCUGACACGCCAGAUUUUUGCAAUGCUUGGAAACUACCACUAGCAUAGCCCAGUGUAACAUAAAUCCUCACUGCAUUGCCCACCUAUAAGUAAGACCAUCAGAGCAGGGACUUGGGGCUCAAGGCCAGCAGCCCAGUUAAUACAGCAAGCUGGAGGGCUCGCCACAUUUCAAAUAGGCUAACAUCAACCAUCAUUCUCUAAAUGCAUAGGCUUCUAUUCCUGCAAAACUCACCGAGAUUCCCAGCCACCCCCCAUCCAGUAAUAUUUGAUUCAGUAGAGAUUGUACAGUUAUUAAUGACAGCAGUCUGCGGACAGAAAGGGCUUUAAUUACACUUGUUUUGACAAAUUGGUGAUGAAUAAGAGGUUAUUCUUUGAUAAGUGCUUAAAAAAAGCACAAGGGCUUUACAAGUGUCCAAUUUUGGCAAACGAGAUUUCUCUUGUUUUCUUGGCAGCCAUUGAACAAGAAAAGAAAAGCAAAAACACACCCUGAAGUUGGACCAGAAGAUAUGGCCAAUAUAUCCUGCUGUGGGGUUUUAAGUUCUAAGUUUUUUAACUUUGCUAUUCAUUGACUUGGCUCAGCUUUUCUUCUCCAUUUUCAAAGCACUUUUUUUCCCUUUAUUGGUGCAGCAGAGAUUUUUUCAAGCAAAUGCUCUGAAAUCAAUCAAAUCUGAUUUUUAUAAUUCCCCAAAGGGACUGCAAUCCUGUGUCCAAUGUACAUAUGACAAUUUGUCAAAGAUGUACACUUUCGCUGUCUGUCAAUAGAAAAUAUUAUUUUCAUAUAGUAUCCUCUGUAGAACCUCACAAUAAACCACUUUUAUGUGUUAUCCUUAUUAAGUAUUGAAAUACGCUGGCACAAAAGAGUUCCACAUCCAGAAAAGCCUAUCUGUGAAUGCUCUCAGAAAUAAGAUGUAACUAUUGG